rnacentral:rRNA from 1 species
UGGGGAAUCUUGGACAAUGGGGGCAACCCUGAUCCAGCCAUGCCGCGUGAGUGAUGAAGGCCUUAGGGUCGUAAAGCUCUUUCGCCUGUGAAGAUAAUGACGGUAGCAGGUAAAGAAACCCCGGCUAACUCCGUGCCAGCAGCCGCGGUAAUACGGAGGGGGUUAGCGUUGUUCGGAAUUACUGGGCGUAAAGCGCACGUAGGCGGACCAGAAAGUUGGGGGUGAAAUCCCGGGGGCUCAACCCCGGAACUGCCUCCAAAACUAUUGGUCUAGAGUUCGAGAGAGGUGAGUGGAAUUCCAAGUGUAGAGGUGAAAUUCGUAGAUAUUUGGAGGAACACAGUGGCGAAGGCGGCUCACUGGCUCGAUACUGACGCUGAGGUGCGAAAGUGUGGGGAGCAAACAGGAUUAGAUACCCUGGUAGUCCACACCGUAAAACGAUGAAUGCCAGUCGUCGGGUAGCAUGCUAUUCGGUGACACACCU